rnacentral:lncRNA from 1 species
CUAGAAUUUGGUCAUGUAGUAUUUGAAUGAAGAGUGAAACUUGUUUUGAAUGAUGAUUACAUUGGACUAUAUGAAAUAUUUGUUCACGGUACUUAGAUUGGGGUAGUAAUAUGCGGUAGUUACAAGCCAUACUUGGUUAUAGAGGUAUUAACAUGUUAAUAUGUACAAUGAACAAAAUGUAGUACGACAAGUAGAGAUGUUGGGAGUGAGGUGCGUUGGACUGUGGGCAUACACAUAAACAUACAUGGGCUAAGCUAUUCGAACAUAAAGCUAAUAGUAAAAACUUGCUCGGUUGGGAUCUCAGAAACAUUUUUUUUUUUUUUUUUUUGAGAUAUUUAGGAGAACAUGAUAUAGAAGAACGACAUACCCUAGUAGAUAUAAAACUAUAGGUACAUCCUGAUUCCUGAGUAGCUACAGUUUUGUGAAUAAAUUUAUACAUAAAGGUGCAAGAGGCUUUAUAAACUUCAGAUGAUUAUCUGACCAGAAACAUGUUCAUAAAUUUUUUGAGUUAUGGAUCAACGAUGUAAUGUACAUCAGCAUUAGAUUUGUCUUCC